UCAAGAAACUUCCACAAUGGGCGAAAGCCUGAUGGAGCGACGUCGCGUGAUGGACGAAGUGCUUCGGCACGUAAACAUCUUUUAUGUGGGAUGAAAUUAUUGACAGUACCACAUGAAUAAGGGGCUCCUAACUCUGUGCCAGCAGGAGCGGUAAUACAGAGGCCCCAAGCGUUAUCCGGAAUCACUGGGCGUAAAGGGUGUCGAGGCGGUUGUAUUAGUCGUUCGUAAAAUCUACGAGCUUAACUUGUAGGCGGCGAACGAAACGGUACGACUUGAGGUUUGGAGAGGUGCGUGGAACUCACGGUGUAGGGGUGAAAUCCGUUGAUAUCGUGGGGAACACCAAAGGCGAAGGCAGCGCACUGGCCAAAAUCUGAUGCUCACACACGAAAGCUAGGGUAGCGAAGAGGAUUAGAUACCCAUGUAGUCCCUGAGCGGGCUGGCAAGGCGCAU
rnacentral:rRNA from 1 species